GGGGCUGUGGCUCCAGAGGUAGAGCGGGUCUUCCACUCACCAGUUUGUUAGUGGUUCGAUUCCAUUCUGCUGGCCG
rnacentral:tRNA from 1 species